GAUGAACGCUGGCGGCGUGCCUAAUACAUGCAAGUCGAGCGAAUGGAUUAAGAGCUUGCUCUUAUGAAGUUAGGGGCGGACGGGUGAGUAACACGUGGGUAACCUGCCCAUAAGACUGGGAUAACUCCGGGAAACCGGGGCUAAUACCGGAUAAUAUUUUGAACUGCAUGGUUCAAAAUUGAAAGGCGGCUUCGGCUGUCACUUAUGGAUGGACCCGCGUCGCAUUAGCUAGUUGGUGAGGUAACGGCUCACCAAGGCAACGAUGCGUAGCCGACCUGAAAGGGUGAUCGGCCACACUGGGACUGGGACACGGCCCAGACUCCUACGGGAGGCAGCAGUAGGGAAUCUUCCGCAAUGGACGAAAGUCUGACGGAGCAACGCCGCGUGAGUGAUGAAGGCUUUCGGGUCGUAAAACUCUGUUGUUAGGGAAGAACAAGUGCUAGUUGAAUAAGCUGGCACCUUGACGGUACCUAACCAGAAAGCCACGGCUAACUACGUGCCAGCCGCCGCGGUAA
rnacentral:rRNA from 1 species